rnacentral:sRNA from 1 species
UUCCUAAUGGCUUUGGUCCUAGAAUUAUGUAAUCAGACCCUUGUAAAUGCACAGCUUCGGCUGUCCCAUGUUAAUUUGUUUCCCCCUCUCUUUCAGGUUCAUGCUGAAUACUCUAGAUUUGUGAAUCAGAUUAAUACUGCUGUACCUUUACCAGCAGCCAGUUCAACCUCCCUACGGAGUACCAAGCAUAGUGCCACCAGCUGUUUCAUUAGCACCUGGAGUCUUGCCGGCAUUACCUACUGGAGUCCCACCUGUGCCAACACAAUACCCGAUAACACAAGUGCAGCCUCCAGCUAGCACUGGACAGGUAGGAUGUCAGGAUAUGCAACAACAUAUUACUGAAUUUAGGAAAAACUGGGGAAAGAGGGGAGGUAGUGGUAUUCCAGAAAUAAAUCAUGUGAUAUGGAAUGUCUUUUUCCUGCUGUCUUCUGUGUUCCUACCAC